rnacentral:rRNA from 1 species
CUUAAGGGCAUUCGGUGGAUGCCUUGGCACUGAGAGGCGAUGAAGGACGUGGUACGCUGCGAAAAGCUUCGGGGAGCUGCGAACAAGCUUUGAUCCGAAGAUAUCCGAAUGGGGAAACCCACUUCCGACAAUUGUUAUUUUGAGGUUGUGAGGCUGGUGCAGCAAUGUGCCGGUCGCGCGGCUUUGGACUAACAAUUGUCACAAGGAGGUAUUUAGUCCCUGAAUACAUAGGGGAUUAAAAGCGAACCCGGGGAACUGAAACAUCUAAGUACCCGGAGGAAAGGACAUCAACCGAGACUCCGUUAGUAGUGGCGAGCGAACGCGGACCAGGCCAGUGCUCUUCUUUGAGUCAGCAAAAGCAGAUGGAAAGCUGCACGUCAGUGGGUGAUAGUCCCGUAUGCGACGAUGAUGAGAAGAGACAUGAGUAGGGCGGGGCACGUGAAACCCUGUCUGAACGUGGGGGGACCACCCUCCAAGCCUAAGUACUCCUCAGUGACCGAUAGCGAACCAGUACCGUGAGGGAAAGGUGAAAAGAUCCCCGACGAGGGGAGUGAAACAGAUCCUGAAACCGGAUGCCUACAAACAGGUGGAGCCUGCAAUGGUGACACCGUACCUUUUGUAUAAUGGGCCAGCGACUUAGUGAGACGAGCAAGCUUAAGCCGAUAGGUGGAGGCGCAGCGAAAGCGAGUCUGAACAGGGCGUUCAGUUCGUCUUAUUAGACCCGAAACCGAUGUGAUCUAGCCAUGAGCAGGUUGAAGGUGGGGUAACACCCACUGGAGGACCGAACCGGUGUCUGUUGAAAAAGCCUCGGAUGACUUGUGGCUAGGGGUGAAAGGCCAAUCAAACUCGGAAAUAGCUGGUUCUCCGCGAAAACUAUUUAGGUAGUGCGUCGCACGAAUACUCCAGGGGGUAGAGCACUGGAUGGGCUAGGGGGUCUUACCGACCUACCAAACCUAACCAAACUCCGAAUACCUGGAAGUACUAUGCGGCAGACAGACGGCGGGUGCUAACGUCCGUCGUCGAGAGGGAAAAAACCCUGACCACCAGCUAAGGCCCCUAAUUCAUGGCUAAGUGGUAAAGGAUGUGAGGAUCCCAUAACAACCAGGAGGUUGGCUUAGAAGCAGCCAUCCUUUAAAGAAAGCGUAACAGCUCACUGGUCUAAACAAGGGUCUUUGCGCCGAAAAUGUAACGGGGCUCAAGCCAUGAGCCGAAGCUGUGGGCUCGCAAGAGCGGUAGCGGAGCGUUCCAUAGGCCUGUGAAGGGUUAUCCGUGAGGAGGCCUGGAGGUAUUGGAAGUGCGAAUGCUGGCAUGAGUAACGACAAACAGUGUGAGAGACACUGUCGCCGAAAGUCCAAGGGUUCCUGCGUAAAGCUAAUCUGCGCAGGGUUAGUCGGCCCCUAAGGCGAGGCUGAAAAGCGUAGUCGAUGGGAACAAGGUGAAUAUUCCUUGACCAGUGGGUAGUGACGGAUCUCUUCCGUGGUGUGGUCUUAUUGGAUUGACCGUGCCAUCACGAGGUUCCAGGAAAUAGCUCCCACAAUAGACCGUACCCGAAACCGACACAGGUGGACUGGUAGAGUAUACCAAGGCGCUUGAGAGAACUAUGCUGAAGGAACUCGGCAAUUUGCCUCCGUAACUUCGGGAUAAGGAGGCCUCGUUCGUGGGCAACCAUGGGCGAGGGGCACAAACUAGGGGGUGGCGACUGUUUAACAAAAACACAGGGCUCUGCAAAGCCGCAAGGCGACGUAUAGGGUCUGACGCCUGCCCGGUGCCGGAAGGUUAAGAGGAGAGGUGCAAGCUUUGAAUCGAAGCCCCGGUAAACGGCGGCCGUAACUAUAACGGUCCUAAGGUAGCGAAAUUCCUUGUCGGGUAAGUUCCGACCUGCACGAAUGGCGUAACGAUCUCCCCGCUGUCUCCAGCAUAGACUCAGUGAAAUUGAAUUCCCCGUGAAGAUGCGGGGUACCUGCGCUUAGACGGAAAGACCCCGUGCACCUUUACUAUAACUUUACACUGGCAUUCGUGCUUGCAUGUGUAGGAUAGGUGGUAGGCUAUGAAGCUUGGGCGCCAGCCCGGGUGGAGCCACCCUUGAAAUACCACCCUUACGAUCAUGGAUGUCUAACCGCGACCCGUCAUCCGGGCCCGGGACAGUGUAUGGUGGGUAGUUUGACUGGGGCGGUCGCCUCCCAAAGAGUAACGGAGGCGUGCGACGGUGGGCUCAGAGCGGUCGGAAAUCGCUCGUCGAGUGCAAUGGCAUAAGCCCGCCUGACUGCGAGACUGACAAGUCGAGCAGAGACGAAAGUCGGCCAUAGUGAUCCGGUGGUCCGUUGUGGAACGGCCAUCGCUCAACGAAUAAAAGGUACGCCGGGGAUAACAGGCUGAUGAUUCCCAAGAGUCCAUAUCGACGGAAUCGUUUGGCACCUCGAUGUCGACUCAUCACAUCCUGGGGCUGGAGAAGGUCCCAAGGGUUCGGCUGUUCGCCGAUUAAAGUGGUACGUGAGUUGGGUUCAAAACGUCGUGAGACAGUUUGGUCCCUAUCUGGCGUGGGCGUAGGAGAAUUGAGAGGAUCUGUCCUUAGUACGAGAGGACCGGGAUGGACGUACCUCUGGUGGACCUGUUGUGGCGCCAGCCGCAGUGCAGGGUAGCUAUGUACGGUCGGGAUAACCGCUGAAGGCAUCUAAGCGGGAAACCCACCUCAAGAUGAGUUCUCCCUCGAAAGCCGUGGUAGACCACCACGUUGAUAGGCCGGGUGUGGAAGCGGAGCGAUCCGUGCAGCUUACCGGUACUAAUAGCUUGAUCGGCUUGAUC